rnacentral:misc_RNA from 1 species
GAUGAAGAACGUAGCGAAAUGCGAUAAGUAGUGUGAAUUGCAGAAUUCAGUGAAUCAUCGAAUCUUUGAACGCACAUUGCGCCCCUUGGUAUUCCAUGGGGCAUGCCUGUUCGAGCGUCAUUUGUACCUUCAAGCUUUGCUUGGUGUUGGGUGUUUGUCUCGCCUUUGCGUGUAGACUCGCCUUAAAAUAAUUGGCAGCCGGCGUAUUGAUUUCGGAGCGCAGUACAUCUCGCGCUUUGCACUCAUAACGACAGCGUCCAAAAGUACAUUUUACACUCUUGACCUCGGAUCAGGUAGGGAUACCCGCUGAACUUAAGCAUAUCAAUAAGCGAGGA